CCUACGGGUGGCAGCAGUGAGGAAUAUUGGUCAAUGGACGAGAGUCUGAACCAGCCAAGUAGCGUGAAGGAUGACUGCCCUAUGGGUUGUAAACUUCUUUUAUCUGGGAAUAAAAUGUUCCACGUGUGGGUUUUUGUAUGUACCAUCUGAAUAAGGAUCGGCUAACUCCGUGCCAGCAGCCGCGGUAAUACGGAGGAUCCGAGCGUUAUCCGGAUUUAUUGGGUUUAAAGGGAGCGUAGGUGGAUUGUUAAGUCAGUUGUGAAAGUUUGCGGAUCAACCCUAAAAUUGCAGUUGACACUGGCAGUCUGGAGUACAGUAGAGGUGGGCGGAAUUCGCGGUGUAGCGGUGAAAUGCUGAGAGAUCACGAAGAACUCCGAUUGCGAAGGCAGCUCACUGGACUGCAACUGACACUGAGGCUCGAAAGUGUGGGUAUCGAACAGGAUUAGAUACCCCAGUAGUC
rnacentral:rRNA from 1 species